rnacentral:rRNA from 1 species
GUGCAGCAGGCGCGAAACCUCCGCAAUACACGAAAGUGUGACGGGGUUACCCAAAGUGUCCAAAUUUGGACUGUGGUAGGUGAGUAAUGUCCCCUACUAGAAAGGAGAGGGCAAGGCUGGUGCCAGCCGCCGCGGUAAAACCAGCUCUUCAAGUGGUCGGGAUAAUUAUUGGGCUUAAAGUGUCCGUAGCCGGUUUAGUAAGUUCCUGGUAAAAUCGGGUAGCUUAACUAUCUGUAUGCUAGGAAUACUGCUAUACUAGAGGGCGGGAGAGGUCUGAGGUACUACAGGGGUAGGGGUGAAAUCCUGUAAUCCUUGUAGGACCACCAGUGGCGAAGGCGUCAGACUGGAACGCGCCUGACGGUGAGGGACGAAAGCCAGGGGAGCGAACCGGAUUAGAUACCCC